GACAGAACGGUAAAUAUGCACAUUAUUGAGGGCAAAUUCGUAAUUAUGUCUGGUAGAUAUUUACAUUUCCUCUUUCUCCAAAUCAUUCCAGAAACACUACAUAUUUCUAACCAGAACAACAAUCUUCAGUUGUCCUUCUCAAGAAUACGUAGGAACGACUAUUUUCACCAUUAUCGGUGGCAACACAAUAACAAUCGGAAACAAUAGUACUAGUGAACAGAUCCAUUUCUGACAAAGUUACGGAAGGUUUUCAUGCGCCGACGUCUCCGCCAUUUGGAUGAUUCAAUGUUGCAGCUUUUCCAUUAUUGAUUCAAUGAAUGAAGUUUAUCCAAAUCAGAUCGACAUAAUGGCCUGUGCAGAAUUUUGUGAACUUUGGACAUAAAGGUGUUGUAUAUCUAGUUGUGGAUUGCGUUGUUCAAGCCUCUGAAUUUGUGUUAUAUGCUUUGAAGAAAAGACCAAGAAGGUAAGCUUAUCACUUAGUGAAAAUAGUAUAGACGUUGAUGUUUCUUCGUUGGAGAUUUUGCUAAUUGUGGUUGAUGAGUGAUGCCCUUUACCAGAAGAAUCACUCUUUGUAGUAAAUGGAUAAUUAUCAGUGGUGAUACCUGGUAAGCCUCUUACACCCUCUUUUUCUUUAUUUUUGGUAGUAUGUCAUCAAGCGCCCUACAACUGUACCGAAGUAAAUAUUUUAAAGGCAUCACAUUUGGUUAGGAAUUGAUUGGAUCUUAUAUAUGUAUGGAUUGGUGAGAUACUCAAAUAAAGAUGUGUUGUCCACUUCAUUUGUUUUUUUCUUAAUUUUCUUCUAUAUCAUGCGAUCUUUGAUGUGGUCGAAUGUGAAACUAAUGAAAGCAAAUAGUGUCGUACAUUUUUAAUAUGAUGAUGUAUUGAUAAAGGCGCUUCUCAUUUUUGGGACACGAUGGGUUCUUGGCUUAAAAUAAAUAUGAAACAAAGAAUUCUGUUUUUGGGUUCUUUUUUCUUCUUUUUGGUGUUUUUUGGUUCACAAUUUAAAGACCUCUCUUAUCUUUGUUUCCCUCAUUUCUUAAAGCGAGCAUAACAGGAAAACAAGACAAAUAAUUUGACAUGAGAAAAUUAAAAUCUCCAUUAGACUAGGAUUUCCACAACAAAUAUUUUGUAUAUAGAUAGUCAUCCUAUAGGUACCAAUUUUGAAAACAGUGACCAUUUAGAUGGAAUAGACUUUAAUGGUAGACGCAUCAUAUUGUCUCUUAAUAAUACUACUGUAACUUGUUAAUAAUAUUGCCUCAGACAAGACACGUCUAACCAAAUGAACAACUUUUUGGUUGGUUUUGAAUUAUUAUCUAUUAGGCAAGAAGUUAUUUCUUUUCUGAAGCAUUAUCAAUUCCCUUUUACCUAUAAAUGGUGUGGGUUUGGGCUAUUGAGGUUUUCCUAAUGUGACUUGUAUAUAGGAAAGUAGAUUCUCUCUGUGGAAGUUGUUGCAUUGUAGUAUCAAGUCUAUUGCCUUGCAAUAAGAAAAUGAAUUAUUUCUUAUUAUAGGUUUGUAAGUUGCUAUAGUGCAACAUAUAGUUCAUUGUGUUGUUUUGUUAAGUUCAGCAAAUUUACAAGUUUAAUAUACUCCAUACAUUUUCUUUUGACUACUUAAAUACUUGAGCUUCAAUGAAAAAAAAUCUUUAAAGAUGAUUGCAUGAUGAAGAUACAAAGGAAAUAUUUAGAAGGAUCAUGCGGAGAACAUAAUCUACUCAUUCUAAGUUUUUGAAUUAAAAGAGACUGAUGAAAUUCCUAUCAUACACAUUAUUUGGAACAUCUAAAAGAUUUAUGCUUAUUGCGACUCUGGUGACAUUAUUGUGUUUUUCUAGGUUGACGCUAGAAUUGCUUUUCCUUUUUAUUUGAGUUUUUUCUGCUUUUGGAAGUAACAAGAAUCUGACACAUACAAAUAUAUUCUAGAAUAUUCAUGUACAUAAUGUAUACCAGACUGUUACUUUUAGCGGUUGAAUUCUCAUCAAUAUUACUAAUUCAAAUGAUUUUUAAAUUCCUGCACCAAAUUAUAGCUCAGGAUCUGGAUCACUUGAAGUUGAAUCCUCACAACAUAGUUACCUGUUGCCACUUCUGUCAUGUUGAAACAAUUGUGUUUACUGUCACAGGCAGAAAGAAAAAGGAAGCUUGGUUUCCACCAGAAGAUCUCGCUUCCCCCAAACCUUCUACUACACCUGUUGUGGACGAAAAGAAGACCAGCUACAAAGGUAGAGUGAAUGAGAGAGUGCCUGCGAACUCUUAAAUAGACCCACAAGGAUGAUGAUGCCAAAGUCAAGACUGCUCUCAACACGCUGCUAACUUAUGCAAAGAAUGUCGCUACAAAUCCCAAUGAGGAAAAAUUUCGCAAGAUUAGACUUAGUAAUGCUGCUUUUCAGGUCACAUAAACAAUCAGUAUAAUACUUGCUUCUGGAUGUUUUUUAAGUCUGGAAAGAGCAUAACUGAAGCUCAAAGCUACCUAAAGCUUUUGAGAAGAGCACAAAGUUUCAUUGAAUAAUCUAUAAUACUUGACUCCACAAUUGUACAACAAGGGUGGAUUUGGAAUUUCACAAUUGAGAAGAGAAGCCACCUUGACCUACUCUUAGAAACAAUAAUUUGGAGGUUAGACCUGGUGAGAACAUUGCAAUAUGUGCGUAGGUGGGCUUAUGAAACUCAACUCUUCAUUCUUGGAGAGGUUCCAAGUAUCAAAGGAGCUGUUCAGAGACACGAGUUCCAGAUCAAUAGUAGAUUUCAGUUUCAACAGUCAGAGUAAAAGUGAGUCCUUAUCCUUCGAGGACAUAAUGAUUUUCUAUUAUCUUAUUGAUUAGCUUAUUAGUUAGAGUUAGUUGGGGACAUGUCCCAUCAACUCUUUAUUCAGAUUCUUCAGACAGUAGAGGCUUUCAGACUAGAUACAGACUAUCAUACUCGGACUUCAGUAUUUUUAGUUUUUUUUUUUUUGGUAUUCUAUUACCCCACACAGAUGAUAGUUAUGUUCAGUAUUGAACCUUAUGGGCUUUCAGUACAUGUUUUUGCAUUAUUAAGUUAUGCAACAUACAAGCACAAAUAUUAGUCAUGGGUUAGCUUGUGGU